CCUAUGAUAAAGGUGAUGAAAAAUAUUC
rnacentral:sRNA from 1 species